AUAGUGGGAAGCCCACUCGCGCAUCCCGCGCGUGUAACUCGUUCUCGGCCACCACUUCUGCGUUUCACAGUGAACAAUGGAGUCCGAACUAACGAGCUAAACGAUGAGCUUCAUCAAUCCGUUCAACAGCUUUUCGAAUCCAUCUUCAAUCCAGUCUACGAUCUCGCAGAUUUCGUCGAAUAUUCCAGCCCCUAUUUCCUUUUUCUUUACUAUGAUCGUCAAGCCGAAACCCUAGUUUUUGUAUUGUUUGGUUUUCGAUUCUACAUCCUCCACCUGCAUCGAUCGUGGUAGAUUACAUGAAUGGCUUCAGUGCUGCAAGUCGGCGAUGAUGCGGGAGGGAAUCCCAGGAGAACGGAUUAUGAAAAGUUUAGUGCCGGGAAGCAACAGAAAGAGCGUAAAAUUUCCAAACACGUCGCUCGAAAUUCCGUAAAAACUCCUGCGGUCACCAAUGGCGUUGCUAAUCCGUCCUCUCCUUCGUAUAAUCCGAUCGAUGCUUUACUCACGUUUAGGGAAUCUUCGCGUCAAAAUCGGUGCAUCGAACCGAUUAACGCCGAGGUCAUGCCGGGAUAUACAAGAUUUAAUAACCGAGUUAGGAUUAGUUUGAAUUCCAGGUCGAGGUCUGGGAUUAAAGAGCUUACGACGAAGCUGAGAAGCGAGCUUGAUCAAGUCAGGAGUCUUGUGAAGAAGUUUGAAGCUCAGGAGUUGCAGCUUAGCGGCUAUGGUGGGGAUUUUGGACAUAGUCAGUCACAGUUUUCCGCUAAUAAUUUGGUAGACAGGGUUGAUAGUACAUUGAAGGCUAAUUCUGAGGUCGGUUCUGCAUAUCUGCCCGAAUCGAGGCUUGUUCGGAGUGUUUCGGUGGCUGAAAGCUUCGGAGAAUUUGCAGAGAAAGAGAUGAACAAGCAUAAGAACACGAAAUAUACUCCUACAAAGGAGCUCCCAUUGCCGGACUGCAACUUGGAUGGAGGUAAGAUUAUUGGUCCUGUUCUUAAAAUCUGUAGUAACUUGCUGGAAAGAUUGAUGAAUCAUAAAUUUGGUUGGGUUUUUAAUGUUCCUGUUGAUGCAAAACGUUUGGGGCUUCAUGAUUAUCAUAAGAUCAUAAGGAAGCCAAUGGAUUUGGGUACUGUAAAGAUGAGACUAAAUAAGAAUUGGUAUAAAUCACCAAAAGAGUUUGCUGAGGAUGUGAGACUAACAUUUACCAAUGCCAUUACAUAUAACCCGAAAGGGGAGGAUGUUCAUAUUAUGGCAGAGCAGUUGUCUAAGAUAUUUGAAGAGAAAUGGAAGGUUAUUGAAGGCAAACAAAAUGAUGGUUCAGUUUUACCAACACCCAGUUCUAGAAAAUCUCCAGUUCUUGCCACUCCUCCAAUGGAAUCAAGAACUUUCAGUCGAUCAGAUUCUACGACGAAGCCUCCGCCUGCGAAUCGGGGAAGUUUCGGUAAAUCAGAUUCGGUAACAAGACCCCUCAAUCCCAAACAGACCCUUGUAGAUGUUGUUCAUCCUGACAAGAAACCAAAAGCAAAGAAUCAAGAACACAGAGACAUGACUUAUGAAGAAAAACAGAAACUAAGCAUUGACCUUCAGGAUUUACCAUCAGAUAAGCUGAAUAAUGUUGUUAAGAUUAUCAAGAAGAGGAACCAGGGACUCUUCCAAAACGAGGACGAAAUUGAGUUGGAUAUCGGAAGUGUCGAUUCCGAAACGCUUUGGGAACUUGAGAGGUUUGUGGCAAACUACAAAAGAAGUUUGAUCAAGAACAAGAGAAAAGCUGAGGCCAGUCUUCAAUCAGGAGAGAAAUCAUCUCACUACUCGACCAAGGAUACUGAUCCAGCAGUGGCUAAUGCAGCAGGAGAACAUGUAGGUGGUAAUGAAGACUCUGAAAAUGAUAGUUCCUCGACAUGUGGAGACGGAAUUCAGUCUCACUCAGGUUGAAUCGACUAAAAUAAGGCCUCUAACUUAAAGAUUGUGUUCAUCUUGCUUGCAUUCUACACCAACAUAGGAUCAUAUGUAUAGUUCGGGGAUGACGGAGCAAUCUCGGGGGCUCAUGCAGGUUCAAAGGGAAGAGAUCAAAAGUACUCGUCGAUAAUUUUAGAAGACGGAAUCAGAAAUCUCAUUCAUGGUUUGCUUUACAUUUGAUUAAUAGGCAUUUCCCCAUUUCUUGCUUUGACAAUUUGCAAGUCCAUAUUUUUGUAAAAUAAAAGCUAGAAGUUAGCAUAAGUCAAUUAAUUCCCUCUCACAUUCUAGGAUUGAUCUUUCCAUGUUCUUUGGCCCCAAACUUAUUUACAUCCUUGUAACAUUUUAUGUUGCAGCAGCAUCUGUAUAUACUAAAACCAUCUUUUAACAUUUU